UGGAUGUGAUAGUUGAUAGUCCUGCAC
rnacentral:piRNA from 1 species